UGGAGAUUUGUGCUCAACAAAGGCUUCGGUGGAGACGUCGCGGAAGAAGACUCGCGGUCAACUGACCGCUGAAGGAGACCGACCAGCUGUCUUCGUGAGUGGAGGGACGACACGCGUUUGAGGAGCUGCAGAGGUGAAAAGCGAUGAAGUUGCAGCUUGAUUCGGUGGAUGAAACAUCCGUUAGUGGUGCUGCAGCGUUGACCGAACCGAAUGAAGACUUGGGUGUGGCAGCUUCGGAGGUGGGGUGCUGGCACGCGGCAGGGGAAAACGAGCAAAGAUGGAGAGAUGGGCAUUGAGAGAG
rnacentral:lncRNA from 1 species